rnacentral:rRNA from 1 species
UACGGGGGGGCAAGCGUUGUUCGGAAUUACUGGGCGUAAAGGGCUUGUAGGUGGCCAACUAAGUCAGACGUGAAAUCCCCUCGGCUUAACCGGGGAACUGCGUCUGAUACUGGAUGGCUUGAGUGUGGGAGAGGGAUGUGGAAUUCCCGGUGUAGCGGUGAAAUGCGCAGAUAUCGGGAAGAACACCCGUGGCGAAGGCGGCUCUCUGGGACGGUACUGGACGCUGAGACGCGAAAGCG